rnacentral:rRNA from 1 species
GGAUGCAAUCAUACCAGCACUAAUGCACCGGAUCCCAUCAGAACUCCAAAGUCAAGCGUGCUUGGGCGAGAGUAGUACUAGGAUGGGUGACCCCCUGGGAAGUCCACGUGUUGCAUCCC